AGUGAACGCUGGCGGUAGACCUAACACAUGCAAGUCGAACGGCAGCACAGUAAGAGCUUGCUCCUACGGGUGGCGAGUGGCGGACGGGUGAGGAAUACAUCGGAAUCUACUUUUUCGUGGGGGAUAACGUAGGGAAACUUACGCUAAUACCGCAUACGACCUACGGGUGAAAGCAGGGGAUCUUCGGACCUUGCGCGAUUGAAUGAGCCGAUGUCGGAUUAGCUAGUUGGCGGGGUAAAGGCCCACCAAGGCGACGAUCCGUAGCUGGUCUGAGAGGAUGAUCAGCCACACUGGAACUGAGACACGGUCCAGACUCCUACGGGAGGCAGCAGUGGGGAAUAUUGGACAAUGGGCGCAAGCCUGAUCCAGCCAUACCGCGUGGGUGAAGAAGGCCUUCGGGUUGUAAAGCCCUUUUGUUGGGAAAGAAAAGCAGCAGGUUAAUACCCCGCUGUUCUGACGGUACCCAAAGAAUAAGCACCGGCUAACUUCGUG
rnacentral:rRNA from 1 species